UAAUACGGGGGGGGCAAGCGUUGUUCGGAAUUACUGGGCGUAAAGGGCUCGUAGGCGGCCACUCAAGUCGGACGUGAAAUCCCUCGGCUUAACCGGGGAACUGCGUCCGAUACUGGGUAGCUAGAAGCCGGGAGAGGGAUGCGGAAUUCCAGGUGUAGCGGUGAAAUGCGUAGAUAUCUGGAGGAACACCGGUGGCGAAGGCGGCAUCCUGGACCGGUCUUGACGCUGAGGAGCGAAAGCUAGGGGAGCAAACGGGAUUAGAUACCCCGGUAGUCCUAGCCCUAAACGAUGAAUGCUUGGUGUGGCGGGUAUCGAUCCCUGCCGUGCCGGAGCUAACGCGUUAAGCAUUCCGCCUGGGGAGUACGGUCGCAAGGCUG
rnacentral:rRNA from 1 species